UCCCAGACAUAAGUCAAAAGCGCGCUGUAUCAUCAAAAAAGAACGCACUUGAAGAGCCAGUUGAGCAAGAAUUGUUGUAUGAGAGUGAAACAGAAGAAAUCCAGGCAUCACAAGAAAGAACUGAAGUACCGCCAAUCAACAACUUGGAACAACAAGAAAGCACCUACACUGAUACUUGCAAACAGUCGACAUACAAUUCAUUGUUUCUAACUCCAAGACAUCGAAUAAAUGCAUUUACAGAAAGACAGUGUCUUGGGGAUACUGUGCUGAAAUUUGGUCCUGUGAAUGUAUCAACAGUAGAUCUUUGGUCACUUGUCAGUCCAAAAGACAUAACU